UAGGGAAUAUUGCACAAUGGGCGAAAGCCUGAUGCAGCAACGCCGCGUGCGCGAUGACGGCCCUCGGGUUGUAAAGCGCUUUUCGGGGAGAUGAGGAAGGACAGUAUCCCCGGAAUAAGGCUCGGCUAACUACGUGCCAGCAGCCGCGGUAACACGUAGGAGCCAAGCGUUAUCCGAAUUCACUGGGCGUAAAGCGCGUGUAGGCGGCUUGGUAAGUUGGAUGUGAAAGCUCCUGGCUCAACUGGGAGAGGACGUUCAAUACUGCCGGGCUAGAGGACGACAGAGGAGGGUGGAAUUCCCGGUGUAGUGGUGAGAUGCGUAGAUAUCGGGAGGAACACCAGUGGCGAAAUCGGCCUCCUGGGUCGCACCUGACGCUCAGACGCGAAAGCUAGGGGAGCGAAC
rnacentral:rRNA from 1 species